rnacentral:rRNA from 1 species
UACAGAGGGGGCAAGCGUUAUUCGGAAUUAUUGGGCGUAAAGGGCGCGUAGGCGGCUUGGCAAGUGGAAGGUGAAAUCCCUCGGCUUAACCGAGGAACUGCCCUCCAAACUGCUUUGCUUGAGGCCGGGAGAGGCGAGUGGAAUUCCCAGUGUAGCGGUGAAAUGCGUAGAGAUGUGGAGGAACACCGAUGGCGAAGGCAGCCUUCUGGGCCAACACUGACGCUCAUGCACGAAGGUCAGGGGAGCAAACGGG